UGGCGGCGUGCUUCAUACAUAGCAAGUCGAACGAGAAUCUGACUUCGGUCAGAGGAAAGUGGCGGACGGGUGAGUAAAAUGUAGAGAAUCUGCCCUUAAGCGGGGGACAACAGUUGGAAACGACUGCUAAUACCCCAUAUGCGCGUAGCUGAGAUGCUAUUCGUGAAAACUCCGGUGCUUAAGGAUGAGUCUGCAUCUGAUUAGCUAGUAGGCGGUGUAAUGGACCACCUAGGCGACGAUCAGUAGCUGGUUUGAGAGGAUGAUCAGCCACAAUGGGACUGAGACACGGCCCGUACUCCUACGGGAGGCAGCAGUAGGGAAUUUUUGCGCAAUGGGGGAAACCCUGACGCCAGCAACGCCGCGUGAUUGAAGAAGCCCUUCGGGGUGUAAAGAUCUGUCAGUGGGGACGAAACUUGACGGUACCCACAGAGGAAGCAUCGGCUAACUCCGUGCCAGCCGCUGC
rnacentral:rRNA from 1 species